UGCGGAAACCCUGGAGAGACAAAAAAUGGAGAAUUGCACAUCGAAAGUACCCUCUUUGGAUCUAGAGUGAACUAUACCUGUAAUAUUGGAUACAAAAUGAUAUCCAAAAAGGAUUACAGAGAAUGCCAAGCAGAUGGAACUUGGAGUAAUGCAGUCCCUGAAUGUGAAGUUCAGAUGUGUGGACCUCCAUUUCCCAUUGCGGA